AAGUCGUAACAAGGUUUCCGUAGGUGAACCUGCGGAAGGAUCAUUAACACGUAUGUGCUCGUACACUUUGUCAAAGCGAGGCAAUCCCUGGUAAAUCAUCGCCGAACAGUUUUGAUUCUGGGACUUCCUCAAAGAGUGUGCAUGUUGCGCGAGGCAAGUGGCCUGGCAUUCCCAAGCAGUUAAUGUCUGAAAGUGUCAUUAGCUGUGUAAGGAUGACGCAGUAACGAUCGUUGGAGGCCGACACGGCCGACGACCGGGUCACCGGGCGCAAGCCCCUUUAUCACCACUUAAUGCAUGACAGACGCGCCAGCGCUUAAUUGUGCGGCGACCAAAAACCGAACAACUGUUAACAAUGGAUAUCUUGGUUCUC
rnacentral:misc_RNA from 1 species